rnacentral:misc_RNA from 1 species
CAAAACUAAGAAGUUCUGACU